CGCCAAGCUGCGGUGAGGGUGCGCGAGGAAUCGCGUCGUGCGAGUGUAGCUGCGCGACAGAUUGCGAGAAGGUUUGUGCGAGCGUGGUUCCGCGUCGUGCGAGCGUGGUGGCGCGACGGAUCUGGGUCGCGCAAGGGGGUUUGGGCGACGGAAACCGGUUUCGGUGUUGUGCGCGUGUGUGGUGUGGUUUUCGGUCGCCGGAAUUCUUUCGCCGGCGAGUUCUAGCGGUCCCAAUUUCAUAAGCGGCUCGUUCUAUUAAGUCAGCGAAAAUUCUCCGUUACAAGAUGGUUCACGACAUAGGCUGUAGGGACUUUUUGAUGAAACAAGUAGGGGAAGACUGGGAUAUGUGGUUCUUUAAAAUGAAGUCUGCUAUGGAUUACAGAAUUAUGCAAGGGGAACAGUGGUUACGAUCUGAGGGCUCUAGGAUACACUUCAUGCUUCGUUAUGUUCCAGAUAUAGAGCCAUAUAGAUUUGUUCAUCGUAGGUAUGGGGAUAUGUGGACUCAGAAGGGUAUUUCAAUAGGAAUAAGCAUACCUACGGAUACCAGAACCUGCCUUCCGAAAAGCACUUCCUCACUGACCUUAAAUACUGCGAGAAUGAGUGGAGGGUUCGUGAGACCAGGGGUCAAAACCCUUCUACUUCAUCUGAAAGGGAAAGUUCGAGCAAUAGGGCCAUAGAUGGGAAUUCUGAGAACCCAGGGGUCAUACCUGAACCGCCAUCAGCACCUGUGGCAAAGAGGCCAAGAUACCAGCCAUUUGAGGAUGAGUUAUUGGCCGAUGACUUUCAGAAUCUUAGGACAGUCACUUACGUCUCUGAUGA